CUGGGAUGCUGGUGCUGCAUUAUUAUAUCAGCCAUCAUGGAUUACUCAGAAGGUUCUCCUGAAGCUGGGAAAUUUUAAUGAAGAUUUGAAACUGUGACACACUGGCUGAUGGCUUGGACUGUGAGCUGGACUGCAUGUUCUUCUUUAUGGUAAGAUGAGUUAUAAAACCUAAUUUAUUUUUUUAGCAUACUGUCAUUAAAGACUCUGCAAA
rnacentral:lncRNA from 12 species